UGAAGAUGAUGGAGGUUGGGUGACAGGGGAAUUGGAAUUUGGAGUUGGGGCAUAGGGGUAGGGUGAUUGAGAUGUUGGGGAAGGAGUGUUUGGAGGUGACGGAAUGUAGGGAGGUUGGGAAAUGGGAGAAGGAGUGGUGGAUGGUGGUGUGGAAAUGUAAGAAGGUGGCUGGGAUAUUGGGGAAGGAGUGGUGGAUGGUGGUGUGGAAAUGUAAGGUGGCUGGGAUAUUGGGGAAGGAGUGGUGUUUGGAGGUGAUGGGAUGUAAGGAGGCUGAGAUAUUGGGGAAGGAGUGUUUGGAGGUGAUGGGGUGUAAGGAGGCUGGGAAGUAGGAGAAGGAGUAUUGGGUUGUGGAGGCACAUAAGGUGACUGAGAAAAGGGUGAUGGGGUUAUUGGAACAAAGGGUGGUUGAUGAUGAGGGGAAGGGGUGUUUGGAGGUAGAGGAGCAUGGGGUGGAUGGUUAUUAGGGGAAGGAGCAUAAGUGGGAGAAGGUGUGUUGGGAGGUAUGGGAGCAUAGGGUGGUUGAGCUUUGGGAGGAAAGGGAAGAUUAGUAGGAGGUGAAGGUGCUUCUGGAGGAGUAUAAACAGGGGGAGGA
rnacentral:lncRNA from 1 species